rnacentral:rRNA from 1 species
AUUGAACGCUGGCGGCAUGCUUUACACAUGCAAGUCGAACGGUAACAGGGAGCUUGCUCCGCUGACGAGUGGCAAACGGGUGAGUAAUGCGUCGGAACGUGCCGAGUAGUGGGGGAUAACGCAGCGAAAGUUGUGCUAAUACCGCAUACGUACUGAGGUAGAAAGUGGGGGACCUUCGGGCCUCACGCUAUUCGAGCGGCCGACGUCUGAUUAGCUAGUAGGUGAGGUAAAGGCUCACCUAGGCGACGAUCAGUAGCGGGUCUGAGAGGAUGAUCCGCCACACUGGGACUGAGACACGGCCCAGCCUCCUACGGGAGGCAGCAGUGGGGAAUUUUGGACAAUGGGCGAAAGCCUGAUCCAGCCAUGCCGCGUGUCUGAAGAAGGCCUUCGGGUUGUAAAGGACUUUUGUCGGGGAGGAAAUCCCCAGCGUUAAUACCGCUGGGGGAUGACAGUACCUGAAGAAUAAGCACCGGCUAACUACGUGCCAGCCGCCGCCGUAAAAC